GCAGGUCAGUAUGCCCCGAAUCCCCCGGGCCACACGCGAGCUGCAAUGGCAGGGACAAUGGGUUCCGACCCCGAAAGGGGGAGGCAAUCCCUAAACCCUGCCGUAGUUGGGAUCGAGGGCUGCAACCCGCCCUCGUGAACAUGGAAUCCCUAGUAAUCGCGCGUCACCAUCGCGCGGUGAAUACGUCCCUGCUCCUUGCACACACCGCCCGUCGCUCCACCCGAGCGGGGCUUGGGUGAGGCGUGGUCAAGUUGGCUGCGUCGAACCCAAGCUCCGUGAGGGGGGAGAAGUCGUAACAAGGUGGCCGUAGGGGAACCUGCGGCCGGAUCACCUCCUAUGC
rnacentral:rRNA from 1 species